GGAUUAAAGACGUGCGCCACCACCGCCUGGCUAUAAUGAGAUAUUCUUAACAUUGUGUUAGUUAUGGGACAAAUAGAAAUGAUCUAAUUAUAAGCUCACUUUAAAGAAGUCUCCCAGUAGCAGACAAGGAAGUCAUAGGUCUUUGGAAGUGAGAAGUAUUUGAUGUGUCCUUGAUCGUUUCAAACUACAGGGGCUACAUGAGAAGAAAUGUGCAUGGUCUUUAGAUACUGAGAACUGCCUUUGUGUGACAGCCAGCAAGACCACAGGGACCUCAAACCAUACUCAUAAGAAAGUGGAUUCCGAUAACAACCUUGGGAAGGAAUGUUUUCUCAGAUCCUCCUGAUAAGAGCCCAGCCCAACUGAUAAUAUGAUUCCAGCAUUGGCAUGAGUUACUACUAAAUGUGGAUGAACAGGAUGGAAGCCAGAUCAGUUUUGUUUUUCUAGGCCUCUGCAGUCCAAAUGAGGAGCAAAUGGGGAGCUACAAGAGGCUCUGCACAAGAGAGCAACACCACAUGGGCCACAGCCCGGACUCAAACGGUGGGCAGGACUCUGGCAGAGGCUGCACAAGGAGAGCUGUGUGGUAACCAACUGUUCUCCGGAGGGAACUCCUUGUCCCAGCAAGCUGAGGGGGUGGCUCCAAGACUUGGCACAUUUGGGACAUUUGGACUUGAGGGCAGAGGCCUCAGGCACCAUUUGCUAUCUAUGCUAUGGGAACGUGCUUGACUUGGGGACAAGAUCUUCUCUUCUCGUCUUUCUGAGCAGAACCUGCCUGUCCUGUUCCUUGCCUCCAUCACCUAGCACCCUCAACUGCACAUCCAGGCUUUGUAUCCUCAGCACGGGGUGCUGAUUCAAGAAGCGGACACUCUAAAGAAAGAAUAGGGCACAGUUUUUAAACACGAGAGGACACUGAUGAUGGGGACUUCCAGCUUGGCCUUCAGGGGAUGCAUUAUCCAUGUCUACUGGCUGAGACACUUCCGGCACCCUUGGUAGCCCCUUUCUUCCCUGGCUUCCCGUGGCAACACUGUAAGGCAGUGCCGAGCACAGUGAUUGAGUUCACGUCACAGCUUUGUCCCUUUGAGCUCUUUGACCUUGGGCAAAUGUCUAAUCUCACCUGCAGAAUGAAGCCCUUAAUAACAUCUUUCUUCUAAGUUUGCUUGCGAGGCCAAAUUAAGCCCCAUAAAGUGCUUAAAACAAUAUCUAGCACAUCAAACUUUAAGUGAUGUUCUCUGUUCUUCUUAUCUGCUCUGUGCUACUUCUCCCUGCCAACAUCACAUCUCCUUCUUGAUGUGUCCUUAAACACAGCCCUCUCACUUGCUCCCACACCCAAUAGUUUUUCUGGAAUUGACCAUUCUAUUAAGUGCAAAGGACUAUGUGAACAAAAUGAACUACAGAAUAACAUCUUCAUUAACUACUUUAAUGCUGUCAUUUCUUUACUGUGACUCACAAAUCUGUGUUUCUGUCUCUCUAUCUCUCUCUAUAUAUCUAUAU